ACCAUAGAUAGCUCAGUUGGUAGAGCGUGAGACACUUAAUCUCAGGGUUGUGGGUUUAAGCUCCAUGCUGGGCG